AAUGUAGAGAGAGCAGGUCAGUUAUAGAGGGGAAGGUAGUUAGCUAGCUAGCUACAUCUGUAAACGCUAGCUGGUUAGCCAGGUUAGAUAUGUAGGUAAUGUAGAGAGAGCAGGUCAGUUAUAGAGGGGAAGGUAGUUAGCUAGCUAGCUACAUCUGUAAACGCUAGCUGGUUAGCCAGGUUAGAUAUGUAGGUAAUGUAGAGAGGAAGGUAGUUAGCUAGCUAGCUACAUCUGUAAACGCUAGCUGGUUAGAUAUGUAGGUAAAGUAGAGAGAGCAGGUCAGUUAUAGAGGGGAAGGUAGUUAGCUAGCUAGCUACAUCUGUAAACGCUAGCUGGUUAGCCAGGUUAGAUAUGUAGGUAAUGUAGAGAGAGCAGGUCAGUUAUAGAGGGGAAGGUAGUUAGCAGGAAUAACUCCUGGUUUGUCUAGAAAUGACUAAAUGUUUAGGUCUGGUUAGGCCACCGUGUCAGAUAGUCGACUAAACAGUUGUUGUUUGUCCCGUCGGAUUAGCAUUCAGAUCAUGGCUAACCUAACUAAACUAACUAACUAACUAACUAACUAACUAUUCCCGUUAGUUAACCU
rnacentral:lncRNA from 1 species